GAAUCUGCCUGGUAGUGGGGGAUAACGCUCGGAAACGGACGCUAAUACCGCAUACGUCCUACGGGAGAAAGCAGGGGACCUUCGGGCCUUGCGCUAUCAGAUGAGCCUAGGUCGGAUUAGCUAGUUGGUGAGGUAAUGGCUCACCAAGGCGACGAUCCGUAACUGGUCUGAGAGGAUGAUCAGUCACACUGGAACUGAGACACGGUCCAGACUCCUACGGGAGGCAGCAGUGGGGAAUAUUGGACAAUGGGCGAAAGCUGAUCCAGCCAUGCCGCGUGUGUGAAGAAGGUCUUCGGAUUGUAAAGCACUUUAAGUUGGGAGGAAGGGCAGUUACCAAUACGUGAUUGUUUUGACGUUACCGACAGAAUAAGCACCGGCUAACUCUGUGCCAGCAGCCGCGGUAAUACAGAGGGUGCAAGCGUUAAUCGGAAUUACUGGGCGUAAAGCGCGCGUAGGUGUUGUUAAG
rnacentral:rRNA from 1 species